CCAAUGGAAGCCAAAGCGUAAGAAAGAAGAAAAUUCUUCUAUCCCUCUUAACACUAAACUUAAUGAUUGUGUUUUAGCUCUUGAGGUUGCAUGCAAAAAUCUAACUAAGGUGUGUACUCAAGUGAAAGAUCCCGAAAGUGCAAUGCACUAUGGGAUAAACCCUGGAUGACAUUCUGAGUCCAGUGGAGUCUAGCAAAGACUAUAAAAUUGCGCUUCUUGGGAGACAAUCCAAGGGAUAGUUUUAGUUUUAUUUCUUUAGUUUUAAUUUGAUUUUUGUUUUUGCUUUCUUAGUUCUAAUGAUUUUUCUGCCUUUGUUUCUGUUUUGUCAUGUUAGUAUUAAAAAAAAAAAUAGAUGAGAAAACUGCCAGUCAAGGUUACUGGAAAUUGCAGCAUGGUAGCGCCAUCAUGCGAGCAGCACAACGCUUCUGAAAUUUUUGGCUUGAAAACGGUGCAAUUUCUUUGGAAAAAUGGUGCCAUAGCAUCAAUCUCAAAUUUUUAAAAAUCAAUCUCAAAACACUACGAAGAUAAGAGGUUUGUUUUCCUAAAAAGAAAAAAAAAAAAACAGAAUCUUAUCAUACUUGUAUCUGAUCCAACGUUGAAAUUUAAAAAGAACUAUCUCCUUCCUUUGUUUUUCACGUAUUCUGCUUGCCCUUAUUAUGAAGUUUUCCUCUUCUCCCCUCACGCGAUUCUCUCUAGCCCUCAAGAUGGCAAACCCUUUUGGUGAUCUUGAGCAGAAAAUUCUGAAGCUCACAGUAGCAGAGCGGCUGGAGAGGAGAGUGAUGAUGAUGAGCCUCAGAGCUCAGAUUGAGGGAGCUCUCCCUUUUAUAUUCUAACUGUUUUAUUUUUCGUUCAGUUAGAGUUUUCUUAGUUCUAUUUCUUAUUUCAUUACGUUUUACAUGAUAGUUAGUUUGUGUUUUGUGGAGUCAGUUUACCCUUAUAUGCUUGUGUUGAGCACCAUAUUACUUACGUAUCUUAAGCGGUUUCACCCUAAAUUUAGAUGCUUGUUUUGUUUGUGAAAAUUACUGAAAAUAUGUUGUUUGAGGUGAUUCACAUGUGGGGAAGUGUUUGUGUUAAGAGAAUGAGAGCUGGGAAGCUUUGGGAACCUGAGUUAAGUUGUUUGAAAACACUGUUUUGAGUUCUGAUUAUGGGUACACUUACCCUUAUAUUUCUGAGUGCUGAGUGAAUAAUUCUGACAUACUUGUACCUGCUUGAACCUGUCUUGAUUUGCAUCUUGGUUGAAUAUGUGCAGUUUUGUAAUUCAGAGAGAGACUUUUAGGAAUUUUUUUUUGUUAGCCUUCAGAUUUUGCUUUCAUGUUUCCCUUAUCGGUCCCUUUGAGCCUUAAUUAUUAUUUCUUUGGUGCCUAGCUUUGGUGAUUUGUUUGGUUGUUAAGUGAUCUUAGUUACUUAAAAAUUGUAGGCUUCUCUUCUUUCUAAAAAAAAAAGUACAAAGAAAAAAAAAUGAAAAAUUUGAGGUAUGUGCCUUGGAACAAAGGAAAGAAAAAGAUAAAAUAAGUGAGUAAGGUUAUGGGGGCGGUCAUCCCACUUUCUAUAUUCCUCAAUCACUUCAUUGCUUUGUUACAAAUGAAAAAAAAGAAUUAAGAGAGAGCCUAAAUGUGUUGAAUUAAUUGCUCGUGUGCUUCAUGAAAAAAGAUCACUUAACUAAAAUUGGGUAGCCAUUUGAGUUGUCAAUUCUUUCAAUUCCGUACCUACAUUGCACCCUUGGCCACGUUACAACCUUAUGAGGUCUCUCCUAAUUGCUUUGCUGUCUUAUUUGAUUUUGAGUUGAAAGAUAGCCAGGUUUGAUGCACUGUACUUGUUUGUUCAUGAGCUGAGAUGUGUGAGCUUAUUUGUAUGGACUCUUAACUCUGUUUUUCUGCUGCUUGUAAUUCUCACUUACUGAAGUUUAUUCACUUUCUUAUCUAAACACUUGCAUGAACUACUGUAAUGAACCCUAGGUUUUUAGACUGAAAAUUUGGCAUCUGAGUUAGGGGUGAUUAGUUAUGUGCUUGAGGACAAACUAAUUGAGUUUACGCUUGAGGACAAACUUUCGUUUAGUAUAGUGGUGUGUUGACCCGGGGAUAUAAGGGUAUUUUUGUGGGUCUUUUAUUUUAUUUUAAAUUUAUUUUCUGAGUUUUAAUUAGUUUUUAUGAUAGUUUUAAGUAAUUUUCGUAUUUUUAAUUAUUUUAGGAUUUUAGGAUUUUUUAUUAUGAUUUAGUAGAUUUUAGUAGUUUUUAUCUUAUCAUUAACUAGCACUUUUUAAAUUAUAGAUUUAGUUAGGAUUUAAGUUGUUUAUUUUUGGAUUAUUAUCUUUUUAGUAUUUAAAUUUUGAUUUAUCUUGUUAUUUUAUUUAGGAUUUUCGAAAUAAAAAGAAAAGAGAAAAUCAGAAAAGAGAUCUGAUCCGGAGCUGCUGGUCCACGGAGCUGCCAUGCAUCCGCAGGAGAUCAAGGGGCUGUUGCUUUGUCCCCCGCCUUGUGGUACUGUCCUGGAAGAUGUUCAUUGUAAUAUGGUGGUUCGAGGAGCACUGGAUUGCACUCUAUUUAAAGUAUGGGCCAAUGAGCUUCUGACACGAGGAAGAAGUAAAGGACAAAGUUUUGUCUUAUUUGAUAAAGUAGCAGCACGUGAUUGGAACGAAAAAAAAAGUAGGAAAACAGAACUUGAUUUGAGAAGGAUUUUAUUAUUAUUAUAAUAGAUAAUAUAUAUAUAUAUAUAAAUAAAGUUGCAGAAAAAUAAAAGAUUGAAUCCAACAACUAACUAUUGGGUUUUGUAUCACUCAUGUUUUCCCUGUAAAAAUUCUCUGGUUAGAAAAUCUGGAAGGGAGUUACUGUCUCCUUUAAUA